UCGUUAGGGAAGUAAAUGGACUCUACUAUUGAUUUACCAUACAAAAGGAAAACGAAAGUAAAUGUAUUUCAUUCUUAUUCUAAAUCGUUAGGGAUAAUGCUGUGAAACUGAAUCAGCCCGAGAAUCUGUAACAUACUUGUCCAUUUUGACAGAUAAUACUUAGGAAUGGGUGCUGAGAACGCCUUACAGUUUGUCGACCAAUAUUUCUCUUCUCCAAAGUCGUACCAGGUUUGUUUCCCUCUUGCAUUUUUGGCAUGGUUUCUCCAGAUGAUGGCGCUAGGAACCCAGAAUUGGGCCAAAACCAGCAACAGCACGAUAGGAUUGUGGACGUAUUGUAAUUACACCACCACGGAUUACAUGUGCUGUCAGACAGUGGAGAACUUCCUGGCCAAAACCUACAACAUCCCGAGGGUCCCAGUUUGGCUCUCGGCCUCACGAGUCUUCGAGAUUUUCGGCUUCUUGACGUCCUUUGUAUUUUUGACUUCGUUUGUUGUGUAUAUCGCUGUGUUAGAAGUUGAUUUGAAAAAGAAAAUAAAAACUUUCUGCUGUGUAUUCUGUAUGGCAACCGUAAUUGUUGUUCUAAUUGGUGGCUUCAUCUACAUGGGAGAGCAUUCUAAAGAGACUUGGAUGAAUUUGGCUAACCUGUCGUCAUCUUUUGGAACGUGUGUUGUUUCAGCCAUCUGUCAUAUCGUCUGUUUUCUACUUCUCGUAAUAGCCAAUGACAAUGCAGUACAGCCAUUUGAUAUUGAACGACAAUGGCAAGGACCAGCAAGUGCUCUCGGAACAAAUGAAUUUUGGGAUGAAAUAUUAGACCAUCCCACAACCCCAAAGUAUUGGGAAAAGUUUGAGGGAGGAUAUCACGUGAAGCGGUAUCUCAGUCUUCAAGAUGUAUGUAAAGUGACCAAUGUUAGCCCAGGAGUAUUAAACGCUGUUGAGAAACUUAUACAGAAAACCUGGGAUCAACAACACGUUGGCAUUGGUGCUGAUGCAAAGAAUAUUCACUACAGUUCCAUUAUUGUUCAAAAAGUUCAGAGAAUCGAAAAUGUUGAUCUAUGGCAUAAUUACGUGCAUGCAAGAGAAAAAUUGAUUCGUAGCUUACUGAAAGAUGGUCCCUUUGAUAAGCUAGAAGAUAGAAGUUCACGGGGAUCUAUCUAUACAUCGAGGAACAUGGAUACUAUUUUGAAAACGGAACUAUAUUCAGAAUUGAAUGAGUACUUACUUUUCCAUGGUACAAAACCUAUGGUGGUUGAUAAUAUCAUGCAAAAGGGAAUGGACCCACGCCAUGCCGCCGAGCGCCCCAUGAUGGGGAGAGGAAACUACUGUGCUGAGAGCUCUACCAAAUCUGAUCAACAUGCAGAUGCGUCUAAUCAUCGACAGAAUGUUGGACUGAAGAUGUUUCUUGUCCGUACGCUUCUCGGUAGAAUUUAUGUGGCCAAUAGCGUUCAACAGUACAAACUCCCUCCUUGUACCCAAUGCUUACACGACUCCUGCAAAAACCAAAACCACCUGCAUUUUAACUCUGUCGUAGCAGACAUUUCUAAUAAGAUUUUCCGAGAAUUCAUCGUAUAUGACGCUAAUCAAUGUUACCCGGAAUACCUCAUCACAUACGACAGGAUAUAAUGACGUAUGACUUUCAGCCAUCAAAUUAUGAUGAACUGCAUUAUACACAAACCUCCCUCAACAAGACAUCCAUGAAAAGGUGAAGAUAACGAACAGUAAUCAAUCUAUAAAGAAUACAAAAUAGAGAGCUGGGCAAACACACACCAGAAGUGGGAGCAGGUGCCUAGGAGGAGUAAGGAUCCCCUGUAGACCGGUCAUACCGUCCAAGAGCCCUAUAUCUUGAUAUAUAAAUGGAGUAAUCCUUAGUCAAAAUGAGUGUGUAAAGGACCGCUAACAAUUGGUAUGAAACUUGUCAGACAGCAUUUGGCCCAAUGAUGAAUUGGCAAACUAGAACGUUUAUAACGACCACAGAAUUUGUGAAAUGCUAACUUUAAAAGAGACUAACUGUUAAAACCCCUGCAAUAUCAACUUGUUUGUCAGUAGCCUGCGUCGGUUUAAAAACUUCUCAUACACAGUAGAAGCUCUUGCGUAAUGAUCAGUUGAGAGACAUAAACACAAUAUGCAAGUGAUAAUGGAACAUUGCUACAUAUAUAUGGGAAGUUGACGAUGGAGAACCUGAAGUCAUCUCGUUUGUCAUAAAGUUGAGUUGUUGGUUUGUCGUCAAUAUCUAUUUUCAACAAAAUAUCCAAGUACGAAGCAGAUGUGGAAGACUCUGUGGUGUCUUUUAUUUUGAUUUCACUGGGAUAUAUCGAAUCGAUAUAUGAAUGUAUGAAUGAAUAUGAUUAUUAUUGUUGAUAGAUAAAACGUCGUCGAUAUAUUUAAUAGUCCACAGCAAUAACAUUUUUUUUCUCGUGUAAAAGCUUUUGAGUAAAUUCUGUCUCAUAAGAACAUAAACACAUAUCAGCUAAUGAAGGAGCACAAUGCGUGUCCAUGGGAAAUCCAACGGAUUGUUUGUUGGAAGACCUGAUCACCAAAGACUACGAAGAUAUUGUCAAUGAGGAACUCCAGCAUAUUUUUUAUUUCAACUUCAGAGUACAUGUGCGUGGAAUCAGAAUGAUGUUUAACAAAGUAAUUUUUUAUGAUUGAUUUCUAGAUUUUUCAAUUUUUUGUUAACGAAACAACUGUCUCUGAUGUUAAAAAGACCCGUCUUUAAUUUAUCGUGAGGAAUGGUCGACUAAAGUGUUGAAAAGUCACACGUUUUGAUGUUGUUGAUUUGAGAAAAGUUUUGUUAUAUCAAACCUAAUAAACGUUCUUCAGAAUU